CUUCAGAGACUGACUUGGAACCUUUGCUGCUACCAUGUUCCCUCAGCAUCUUCUUUCAGACUGACUGAGAUCUAUUUUCUCUGCAGGAUUCAAUAUUAACGCUUGCAGAUGUUCACUGUGGAAUAUGCUGACAUAUUACUUGACAUUAAGUUACAGUAGAAGUACAAUACAUAAGAUGUUAUGAGCUGAGGUGAAUGUUUGUAAAUCACAAAGGUUACGUGGACAAGAGGACCUGGGCUCCUAUCUGUGAGGCGAAGAUGGCAAAUGAAAAAGGAAAGAAUGUGUGAAAGAUGGUGGAUUCUGAAGCCUGUGUUCCAGUAAUACCAAAACUGCUUCCAAGAAGAGAACACUAUUUAGUUUUCAAAGAGAGAGAGAACUAGACUACUUGAAUUGAGGACAUGCAAGUUCGAUUGAGUUUUUUCCUUGGUUGAAUCACAUCCCAAGCACUGAACAGAGAUGAAGCCUGUCCAGGAAGGAACUCAGCUGGUGAAGUUACAAACAAACCAUAUCAUGGAGGAAAGAAGGAACUAGAGGUGUUUGGUUAAAAGAGGAGUUUUGUCUUAAAUUCAUUCCAAAUCAUUGGAAGACUGCAGUCUUGCAGGGAGGUUCAUUUUAUCUUGUGAAGUAAUUAAACAAAGAAGGGAAGUUAUAGAAAUUAUUUCAAUAUACAAGAGGAUUUUUCUGUUCUAUAAAAGCUCUAAACACAUAUUCUAUCCACAGCUUUAUUGCUUUCCUCCAGACAAUCUAUGGUAGGAUGGGGUAUUAUACUGACUUCUCACAGGAUCAGAUGUAAACCAUCAAAGAAGUUUCUCUCUGACCAAAGGCACUAUUCUGGAGGCAGGUGCAGCAUUUACAGAAAAAACAUGGAAAAUAGUUACCAACUCCAGGUGAAGCCAAGAGAAGAUUUCCUUUUCUUUUUCUUUUCUUUUUUCUUUUUUUUUAAAUCCAACCAAGCCUAUUAAGAGAAGAUUUUCUGAAGCAA
rnacentral:lncRNA from 12 species